rnacentral:lncRNA from 1 species
GUAGAGCAUUAACUUGGAUCCAAAUAAAUGAAAACUGAUUAUGACAACUAUGUCAGUUUUGUUUUCCUGUUGAAGAUGCAAAGAUAUGUAAGAACUGAUUUUGAACCUUCCCCAUAAAAACAGUAUACUGCAGUGGUUCCUGGAAUUAAUGACUAUCAUCUGGUUUUAGGUUUUAUGUUCUAAUCUGAUUCCUUAGUACUGGAUCCCAAACCAGGUGCUGCCUGCAUGCUUAGCAAAUAAACCAUUUUCCAGUCAUACCUAAUUGAUUUUCUACAAGCAUAUUAUUAAAAUUUGAAUUAAAGUAUAGCAAAAUUACUCACUGGAAUCAUAGCCUCUUGAGAAAAAAAGGUCAUCAUUAGGAAGUAUCCAGUCCCAUAUUUUGACAGAUGAGACCCACAAUAGUAUUGAGUGACCAGCAGCAACUGUUCACUGGACUGGGACUUUGCUGUUUUGGUUCCAAUGGUCCCUUAAAAUUAUUAAUGACAUAGGUAUAUUUAUGUGUAUGAAGCAGAGUACCAUGAUGGUAACUCCUUUGAAUUAAACUAAGUACCCAUUUAAGAAAGGUCUAGAUUCCGGUAUACUGUGCACCAUUUGCAAAACAGUUUUUCUGAACAACUCAACAGUGCUUCUAUUUUGGGAAUAAUAUAAACAAUCUAAGAACACAACCUCCUGUGAGUCAUUCUGUUAUCUACCAAAUCCUAUCCCUAGGGAAUCUCAUCUUUGACUGCCCCCCUUCCAUUUCCUCACAUGCAGACAUUGGACACCAGGCUUGAAAAGGAACUUCAGAGUCAUAUGACCUCAUCUAUUGCCAAAGUUCCUCUUGCAUUUAACCCCUCCUUUGAGUCAUCUCAUUGUCCCUGCCUAGUCCUGAGAACCUCACAGACUUCCUAAAGGGACAGCAAGUUUUACUUCUCCAAUUCGUCUUUCGCACUUUGCACAGAUGGAUGUGCCCAAAACACAAACAACAUAUUCCUCUCAAACCCUCUGAGUGCUUCCUUGCUUUAAGGAUCAUCACUGCCUCUCCCCCUGUGCCUUCUGCACACCCCACCUUCCCCCCAGAGCUGCCAUACUGCUUCCUUCCAGCCUCUGCAGUCAUUGCACCCAGCUACUCCCAGGCAGUCUAGAACACCACUCACCAUUCCCAUCUUAAAAUGUCAGACUGAGUUGGGAUUGUGGCUCAGCGGUAGAGCACUUGCCUAGCAUGGGCGGGACCUGGGUUCGAUUCUCAGCACCACAUAAAAAUAAAGGCAUUGUGUUGUGUCCAUCUACAAAAAAAAU